rnacentral:misc_RNA from 1 species
UUAGCUUGACUUCGCAGAUCGGACGGGAUGCGGUAUUUUCUGGAUCCUAUGGCCGUAGAUGACAGUAUGUCAGAACAGCCCCUAUAAGCCAGUCCCUCCUGGAACGACACACAAGACAGCUGGCAGACUUGGGCUCACCAGCACUCAUACUUGGUCUUUGCAGCACCUAGCAUGCUCACCGGUACAGUCCCAGGCCUGCCAGCUCUCAACUCUUGACUUGUCACUCAGUCCCCAGCCUCACUCACCCACGUCUUGCUCCCUCUAGACCUUGCUCUCUUCUAAGCUGGCCCGUCCAAGUCCACAACCGCCCUGCUAGAGACCCCUUGUCUCCCCCAGUCCAUCCUUCCGACUUGCAACUUUGAGAGUUUUCACCCAAGGUCCAACUCUCUAGCUGCUGCCUUCUCCGUUUUUGAUCCCAUAGCCUUCGUUCUUGAUCUACCUACUUCUCUACUUCUCUCUACUGCACCUACUACUUGUCUCGUUAAACUGUCUAUGAUUAGAAUGCUGGAGUCGCCCCCCAGUCCAUGCCAAACAUAGAGAGUCCAAAAGGACAAAUCUGUAGAACAAAAGCUGAGCCUCAGCAGAUCGUAGCAACAAGGCUACUCUACUGCU